UGAAAUCUCACCAGGCCCGGACACUGGAAGGAUUGACAGAUUGAUAGCUCUUUCUUGAUUCGGUGCGUGGUGGUGCAUGGCCGUUCUUAGUUGGUUGAGUGAUUUGUGGCUUAAUUUGACUCAACGCGGGAAAUCUCACCAGGCCCGGACACUGGAAGGAUUGACAGAUUGAUAGCUCUUUCUUGUUAGCAAUAA
rnacentral:rRNA from 1 species